AUUGAACGCUGGCGGCAUGCCUUACACAUGCAAGUCGAACGGCAGCACGGGUGCUUGCACCUGGUGGCGAGUGGCGAACGGGUGAGUAAUACAUCGGAACAUGUCCUGUAGUGGGGGAUAGCCCGGCGAAAGCCGGAUUAAUACCGCAUACGAUCCACGGAUGAAAGCGGGGGACCUUCGGGCCUCGCGCUAUAGGGUUGGCCGAUGGCUGAUUAGCUAGUUGGUGGGGUAAAGGCCUACCAAGGCGACGAUCAGUAGCUGGUCUGAGAGGACGACCAGCCACACUGGGACUGAGACACGGCCCAGACUCCUACGGGAGGCAGCAGUGGGGAAUUUUGGACAAUGGGCGAAAGCCUGAUCCAGCAAUGCCGCGUGUGUGAAGAAGGCCUUCGGGUUGUUAAGCACUUUUGUCCGGAAAGAAAUCCUUGACUCUAAUACAGUCGGGGGAUGACGGUACCGGAAGAAUAAGCACCGGCUAACUACGUG
rnacentral:rRNA from 1 species